rnacentral:rRNA from 1 species
UACGUAGGGUGCGUGCGUUGUCCGGCAUUAUUGGGCGUAAAGGGCUCGUAGGCGGUUUGUCGCGUCGGGAGUGAAAUUUCAGGGCUUAACCCUGUUCGUGCUUCCGAUACGGGCAGACUAGAGGUAGGCAGGGGAGAACGGAAUUCCUGGUGUAGCGGUGGAAUGCGCAGAUAUCAGGAGGAACACCGGUGGCGAAGGCGGUUCUCUGGGCCUAUUCUGACGCUGAGGAGCGAAAGCAUGGGGAGCGAACAGG